ACCAAACCACAGGUCACACUUGGAGGAGCUGGAGGAGUUUUGAUUUGGCUACUGAGCCAAGGAGAGCUGUGGUGGUCAGCAGCCACUGCCAGCCCCUCUCUGUGCUGCUGGAUCCUCACCACCACUGGAAUCUGUCCCAGCUGGAUUAAACCAACACAUGAGAGCAGAGCUCUCUCCACUUGUGGGUGGAGAGAGGCCAGCAUUGUUCAGGGCAGGGGAUCUCCCACCCAGCCUGAGCCUGGGUUUGGAAUAUGAGCUGAAUAAACUGGGUUUAAAAAAGAAAAGAAGCAAGUGGAGUGAAUUGGCUUGGUUUUUAGGAAAAAAAAAAGAAUAUACACAAGUUCCACCAAAGGGAACAUAUUUUUGGAAGGAUGAUCAAUUCUGGUCAAUCAUCUUAAAACAACGUGGUUGAAAAUGGAAGGCUGGGAUUAUUGCCAUGAACAGAGACCAGGCAAGUUGUCAAUGCUCACAAUGAUAAAGAUGUCACUGAUUAAAGUGGCUGUUAGAAUGUUUGAAAACCAAAAUGAAAAAUACGAACAGAUGAAACUACCAAACCAACAAACUUGCAACAGAGACAAGUCAGUGCUUUUCUAUAGGACCUUUUCUCCACCUAUUUCUGUCCUUCUGAGCUGGAUGGACCCAACCAGAGCUCCUGCAGGCAGCAGCAGGUGUGUUUCCCAGGUGUGUUUUUUCCCAGGUGUGUGUGCUUUCCCAGGUGUUCCCCAGGUGUGUUCUUCCACAGAUGUGUUC